CAGAGGUCUCAAGCGUUGUUCGGAUUCAUUGGGCGUAAAGGGAGCGUAGGUGGCGAGGUUAGUCAGGUGUGAAAUCUCGGGGCUCAACCCCGAAACUGCACUCGAUACUGCCUUGCUAGAGUACUGGAGAGGAGAUUGGAAUUUACGGUGUAGCAGUGAAAUGCGUAGAUAUCGUAAGGAAGACCAGUGGCGAAGGCGAAUCUCUGGACAGUUACUGACACUGAGGCUCGAAGGCCAGGGGAGCAAACGGGAUUAGAUACCCCGGUAGUCCUGGCAGUAAACGGUGCGCGUUUGGUGUGGGAGGAUUCGACCCCUUCUGUGCCGGAGCUAACGCGUUAAACGCGCCGCCUGGGGAGUACGGUCGCAAGAUUA
rnacentral:rRNA from 1 species